GGCCUUGACAUACUAAGAACUUUCCAGGGAUGGAUUGGUGCCUUCGGGAACUUAGAUACAGGUGCUGCAUGGCUGUCGUCAGCUCGUGUCGUGAGAUGUUGGGUUAAGUCCCGCAACGAGCGCAACCCUUUUUCCUUAUUUUGCCAGCGGGUCAUGCCGGGAACUUUAAGGAUACUGCCAGUGACAAACUGGAGGAAGGCGGGGACGACGUCAAGUCAUCAUGGCCCUUACGGCCAGGGCUACACACGUGCUACAAUGGUCGGUACAAAGGGUUGCUACCUCGCGAGAGGAUGCUAAUCUCAAAAAGCCGAUCGUAGUCCGGAUCGCAGUCUGCAACUCGACUGCGUGAAGUCGGAAUCGCUAGUAAUCGCGGAUCAGAAUGCCGCGGUGAAUACGUUCCCGGGCCUUGUACACACCGCCCGUCACACCAUGGGAGUUUGUUGCACCAGAAGUAGGUAGUCUAACCGCAAGGAGGACGCUUACCACGGUGUGGCCGAUGACUGGGGUGAAGUCGUAACAAGGUAGGCGUAGAUGA
rnacentral:rRNA from 1 species